UCCAGGCAAAUCCGGAUAAUCAAGGCUGAGGUGUGAUGACGAGGCACUACGGUGCUGAAGUAACAAAUGCCCUGCUUCCAGGAAAAGCCUCUAAGCAUCAGGUAACAUUAAAUCGUACCCCAAACCGACACAGGUGGUCAGGUAGAGAAUACCAAGGCGCUUGAGAGAACUCGGGUGAAGGAACUAGGCAAAAUGGUGCCGUAACUUCGGGAGAAGGCACGCUGGUGUGUAGGUGAAGUCCCUGCGGAUGGAGCUGAGACCAGUCGAAGAUACCAGCUGGCUGCAACUGUUUAUUAAAAACACAGCACUGUGCAAACACGAAAGUGGACGUAUACGGUGUGACGCCUGCCCGGUGCCGGAAGGUUAAUUGAUGGGGUUAUCCGUAAGGAGAAGCUCUUGAUCGAAGCCCCGGUAAACGGCGGCCGUAACUAUAACGGUCCUAAGGUAGCGAAAUUCCUUGUCGGGUAAGUUCCGACCUGCACGAAUGGCGUAAUGAUGGCCAGGCUGUCUCCACCCGAGACUCAGUGAAAUUGAACUCGCUGUGAAGAUGCAGUGUACCCGCGGCAAGACGGAAAGACCCCGUGAACCUUUACUAUAGCUUGACACUGAACAUUGAGCCUUGAUGUGUAGGAUAGGUGGGAGGCUUUGAAGCGUGGACGCCAGUCUGCGUGGAGCCAACCUUGAAAUACCACCCUUUAAUGUUUGAUGUUCUAACGUUGGCCCCUUACCGGGGUUGCGGACAGUGUCUGGUGGGUAGUUUGACUGGGGCGGUCUCCUCCCAAAGCGUAACGGAGGAGCACGAAGGUUAGCUAAUCCUGGUCGGACAUCAGGAGGUUAGUGCAAUGGCAUAAGCUAGCUUGACUGCGAGCGUGACGGCGCGAGCAGGUGCGAAAGCAGGUCAUAGUGAUCCGGUGGUUCUGAAUGGAAGGGCCAUCGCUCAACGGAUAAAAGGUACUCCGGGGAUAACAGGCUGAUACCGCCCAAGAGUUCAUAUCGACGGCGGUGUUUGGCACCUCGAUGUCGGCUCAUCACAUCCUGGGGCUGAAGUAGGUCCCAAGGGUAUGGCUGUUCGCCAUUUAAAGUGGUACGCGAGCUGGGUUUAGAACGUCGUGAGACAGUUCGGUCCCUAUCUGCCGUGGGCGCUGGAGAAUUGAGGGGGGCUGCUCCUAGUACGAGAGGACCGGAGUGGACGCAUCACUGGUGUUCGGGUUGUCAUGCCAAUGGCACUGCCCGGUAGCUAAAUGCGGAAGAGAUAAGUGCUGAAAGCAUCUAAGCACGAAACUUGCCCCGAGAUGAGUUCUCCCUGAGACUUUAAGUCUCCUGAAGGAACGUUAAAGACGAUGACGUUGAUAGGCCGGGUGUGUAAGCGCAGCGAUGCGUUGAGCUAACCGGUACUAAUGAACCGUGAGGCUUAACC
rnacentral:rRNA from 1 species